rnacentral:snoRNA from 1 species
GGGCAGGCACACCUGUCCUUUUCUUUCCCAUGCAGUGGCUGCGGACGGCAGCCUCCCUGGUAGCGUCCGCGGCCUGUUGCUUGUACGGGUUGCCUUAAGGGAGCUUGGAGACAGUC